UUAACACAUGCAAGUCUAGGCAGAAAGUACCUUCGGGUGCGAGUAAACUGGCGAACGGGUGAGUAACGUGUAGGUAAUUUGCCUACGAGUGGGGAAUAGGUGCGGGAAACCGGAAUUAAUACCGCAUAACGUCAUGCUCCGAUGGGAGUGUGAUCAAAGGUGGGGACCUUCGGGCCCAUCGCUUGUAGAUAAGCCUGCAUCUGAUUAGUUAGUUGGUAGGGUAACGGCCUACCAAGACCGCGAUCAGUAGCUGUUCUAAGAGGAAGAUCAGCCACAUUGGGACUGAGAUGCGGCCCAGACUCCUACGGGAGGCAGCAGUGAGGAAUUUUGCGCAAUGGGAGAGAUCCUGACGCAGCAACGCCGCGUGACCGAUUGAAGCUUUUAGGAGUGUGGAGGUCUGUCGUGAGGGAAGAGCGAGACCGAGAAUGCUACGUUCGGUAAUUGACGGUACCUCACAGGCGAGCUCCGGCUAACUUCGUGCCAGCAGCCGCGGUAAUACGAGGGGAGCACGCGUUGUCCGAGAGUAGCUGGGCGUAAAGGGUACGUAGGC
rnacentral:rRNA from 1 species